AUACGUAGGUGGCAAGCGUUGUCCGGAAUUACUGGGUGUAAAGGGAGCGCAGGCGGGGAGGCAAGUCAGCUGUGGAAACCAUGGGCUUAACCCAUGGAUUGCAGUUGAAACUGUCUUUCUUGAGUGGAGUAGAGGUAGGCGGAAUUCCGAGUGUAGCGGUGAAAUGCGUAGAUAUUCGGAGGAACACCAGUGGCGAAGGCGGCCUACUGGGCUCUAACUGACGCUGAGGCUCGAAAGUGUGGGGAGCAAACAGGAUUAGAUACCCUGGUAGUCCACACUGUAAACGAUGAUUGCUAGGUGUGGGGGGUCUGACCCCUUCCGUGCCGGAGUUAACGCAAUAAGCAAUCCACCUGGGGAGUACGGCCGCAAGGUUGAA
rnacentral:rRNA from 1 species